rnacentral:lncRNA from 1 species
GGGUGCAGGUGCUUGAGAAGGGCGUCUCCAGAUGGGCCUCCUGGCACAGUCCAGAGUUUCUGUUCACACAGGACAGUUGUGGGGGUGGUUGGGCUUAAGCUCCAUCAGCAGGAGAAUCCUGGACCAUCCUCUGCCUCGCUGAGCCUACGCUGUCCCACUGCAGGACCUGAGAUCGUUCCCAAGCCUGCCUGAGGGUCAUCCUGAAAUGCGGGAAGUGAUGGAGACAAACCAUUGGAUGGUAAAGGCUUCUGGGCUCUGCAGACGCACAGCCUGCAGGAGGUGGAACCUGAUCUCAGAAAGCACCUUGUGCCGCUGUGCAGGUGUCUGGGUGCAGUGUCGCCUGCUACCAGCCCUGGAUCUGCUUCUGCCUCUGCAGAUGGGCCCUCUGGGGACACGGACUGUGAAUGGAACGACACACAGGUCCCUUCUUCCCUUAUUGGAUGACCGCGAUGAUACCAGGAUAAAAAGUAGCCAGGCUGGAUUCCUCACCAUCUAG